rnacentral:rRNA from 1 species
CCUACGGGUGGCAGCAGUAGGGAAUCUUUCACAAUGGGCGAAAGCCUGAUGCAGCAACGCCGCGUGCAGGAUGAAGGCCUUCGGGUUGUAAACUGCUUUUAUAAGCGAGAAAUAUGAUGGUAACUUAUGAAUAAGGAUCGGCUAACUACGUGCCAGCAGACGCGGUCAUACGUAGGCUCCGAGCAUUAUCCGGAGUGACUGGGGGUAAAGAGUUGCGUAGGUGGGAUAAUAAGUAGCUAGUGAAAUCUGGUGGCUCAACCAUUCAGACUAUUAGCGAAACUGUUAAGCUCGAGAACGGUAGGGGUAACUGGAAUUUCUAGUGUAGGAGUGAAAUCCGUAGAUAUUAGAAGGAACACCAAUAGCGAAGGCAGGUUACUGGGACGGUUCUGACACUAAGGCACGAAAGCGUAGGGAGCAAACGGGAUUAGAUACCCUAGUAGUC